rnacentral:rRNA from 1 species
GAAGGUGUGCUGUGAGGCAUGCUGGAGGUAUCAGAAGUGCGAAUGCUGACAUAAGUAACGAUAAAGCGGGUGAAAAGCCCGCUCGCCGGAAGACCAAGGGUUCCUGUCCAACGUUAAUCGGGGCAGGGUGAGUCGACCCCUAAGGCGAGGCCGAAAGGCGUAGUCGAUGGGAAACAGGUUAAUAUUCCUGUACUUGGUGUUACUGCGAAGGGGGGACGGAGAAGGCUAUGUUGGCCGGGCGACGGUUGUCCCGGUUUAAGCGUGUAGGCUGGUUUUCCAGGCAAAUCCGGAAAAUCAAGGCUGAGGCGUGAUGACGAGGCACUACGGUGCUGAAGCAACAAAUGCCCUGCUUCCAGGAAAAGCCUCUAAGCAUCAGGUAACAUCAAAUCGUACCCCAAACCGACACAGGUGGUCAGGUAGAGAAUACCAAGGCGCUUGAGAGAACUCGGGUGAAGGAACUAGGCAAAAUGGUGCCGUAACUUCGGGAGAAGGCACGCUGAUAUGUAGGUGAAGUCCCUCGCGGAUGGAGCUGAAAUCAGUCGAAGAUACCAGCUGGCUGCAACUGUUUAUUAAAAACACAGCACUGUGCAAACACGAAAGUGGACGUAUACGGUGUGACGCCUGCCCGGUGCCGGAAGGUUAAUUGAUGGGGUUAGCGCAAGCGAAGCUCUUGAUCGAAGCCCCGGUAAACGGCGGCCGUAACUAUAACGGUCCUAAGGUAGCGAAAUUCCUUGUCGGGUAAGUUCCGACCUGCACGAAUGGCGUAAUGAUGGCCAGGCUGUCUCCACCCGAGACUCAGUGAAAUUGAACUCGCUGUGAAGAUGCAGUGUACCCGCGGCAAGACGGAAAGACCCCGUGAACCUUUACUAUAGCUUGACACUGAACAUUGAGCCUUGAUGUGUAGGAUAGGUGGGAGGCUUUGAAGUGUGGACGCCAGUCUGCAUGGAGCCGACCUUGAAAUACCACCCUUUAAUGUUUGAUGUUCUAACGUGGACCCGUAAUCCGGGUUGCGGACAGUGUCUGGUGGGUAGUUUGACUGGGGCGGUCUCCUCCUAAAGAGUAACGGAGGAGCACGAAGGUUGGCUAAUCCUGGUCGGACAUCAGGAGGUUAGUGCAAUGGCAUAAGCCAGCUUGACUGCGAGCGUGACGGCGCGAGCAGGUGCGAAAGCAGGUCAUAGUGAUCCGGUGGUUCUGAAUGGAAGGGCCAUCGCUCAACGGAUAAAAGGUACUCCGGGGAUAACAGGCUGAUACCGCCCAAGAGUUCAUAUCGACGGCGGUGUUUGGCACCUCGAUGUCGGCUCAUCACAUCCUGGGGCUGAAGUAGGUCCCAAGGGUAUGGCUGUUCGCCAUUUAAAGUGGUACGCGAGCUGGGUUUAGAACGUCGUGAGACAGUUCGGUCCCUAUCUGCCGUGGGCGCUGGAGAACUGAGGGGGGCUGCUCCUAGUACGAGAGGACCGGAGUGGACGCAUCACUGGUGUU